GACGAACCGUGCGAACGUUUGUUCGGAAUCACUGGGCUUAAAGGGCGCGUAGGCGGGCUCAAAAGUCAGGGGUGAAAUCCCACGGCUCAACCGUGGAAGUGCCUUUGAUACUGUGAGUCUCGAGGGAGGUAGGGGCGUGCGGAACUUCCGGUGGAGCGGUGAAAUGCGUUGAGAUCGGAAGGAACGCCCGUGGCGAAAGCGAGCUCCUGGAUGUCUUCUGACGCUGAGACGCGAAAGCUAGGGUAGCGAACGGG
rnacentral:rRNA from 1 species